GACGAACGCUGGCGGCGUGCCUAAUACAUGUAAGUUGAGCGCUGAAGGUUGGUGCUUGUACCAACUGGAUGAGCAGCGAACGGGUGAGUAACGCGUGGGGAAUCUGCCUUUGAGCGGGGGACAACAUUUGGAAACGAAUGCUAAUACCGCAUAAAAACUUUAAACACAAGUUUUAAGUUUGAAAGAUGCACUUGCAUCACUCAAUGAUGAUCUCGCGUUGUAUUAGCUAGUUGGUGAGGUAAAGGCCCACCAAGGGGAUGAUACAUAGCCGACCUGAGAGGGUGAAUGGCCACAUUGGGAAUGGGACACGGCCCAAACUCCUACGGGGAGCAGCAGGAGGGAAUCUUCGGCCAAGGACGGAAGGCUGACCGGGCAACGCCGCGGGAGUGGAGAAGGGUUUCGGAUCGGAAAACUCUGUUGGUAGGGAAGAACGUUGGUGGGAGUGGAAAGCUCAUCAAGUGACGGUAACUACCCAGAAAGGGACGGCUAACUACGUG
rnacentral:rRNA from 1 species